rnacentral:rRNA from 1 species
UGGGGAAUAUUGGGCAAUGGGCGCAAGCCUGACCCAGCCAUGCCGCGUGUGUGAAGAAGGCCCUAGGGUUGUAAAGCACUUUCAGCAGCGAAGAAAAGCUUAGGGUUAAUACCCCUGAGUCUUGACGUUAACUACAGAAGAAGCACCGGCUAACUCCGUGCCAGCAGCCGCGGUAAUACGGAGGGUGCGAACGUUAAUCGGAAUUACUGGGCGUAAAGCGCGCGUAGGCGGUUCGACAAGUGGGAUGUGAAAGCCCAGGGCUUAACCUUGGAACUGCAUUCCGAACUGUCGGGCUAGAGUAUGGUAGAGGGAGGUAGAAUUUCCUGUGUAGCGGUGAAAUGCGUAGAUAUAGGAAGGAAUACCGGUGGCGAAGGCGGCCUCCUGGACCAAUACUGACGCUGAGGUGCGAAAGCGUGGGGAGCAAACAGG